rnacentral:rRNA from 1 species
CUACGGGACGCUCCAGUGGGGAAUAUUGCACAAUGGGCGCAAGCCUGAUGCAGCCAUGCCGCGUGUAUGAAGAAGGCCUUCGGGUUGUAAAGUACUUUCAGCGGGGAGGAAGGGAGUAAAGUUAAUACCUUUGCUCAUUGACGUUACCCGCAGAAGAAGCACCGGCUAACUCCGUGCCAGCAGCCGCGGUAAUACGGAGGGUGCAAGCGUUAAUCGGAAUUACUGGGCGUAAAGCGCACGCAGGCGGUUUGUUAAGUCAGAUGUGAAAUCCCCGGGCUCAACCUGGGAACUGCAUCUGUACUGGCAAGCUUGAGACUCGUAGAGGGGGGUAGAAUUUCAGGUGUAGCGGUGAAAUGCGUAGAGAUCUGGAGGAAUACCGGUGGCGAAGGCGGCCCCCUGGACGAAGACUGACGCUCAGGUGCGAAAGCGUGGGGAGCAAACAGGAUUAGAUACCCCUGUAGUC